rnacentral:misc_RNA from 1 species
AAGUCGUAACAAGGUCUCCGUAGGUGAACCUGCGGAGGGAUCAUUACUGAGUUUUGGCCGUCUCGGAAGGGAGCGUGUAAAAGCGCGUCCCAUUCCUUCGCCCCACCUCCGCGGCCCUGCAAGGGGGCGUGGAGGAGGCCUCUGGAUGUUCGAAGCAAUUCACGCCAGGGAGCCGCCGGGGGGGACGGUUAACCUCCAACCCUUUGUUGUCAUAACCAUGUUGCCUCGGGGUGAUGCAGGACCUCCUUCGCGGGAGGUGUUGCCGGACCCCGACGGAAAACCCAUACUCUGUUUUUUAAUACCUGAAGUCUGAGUAAAACAUAAAUCAUACAAA